rnacentral:rRNA from 1 species
UUUAUGAAGAGUUUGAUCCUGGCUCAGAGCGAACGCUGGCGGUAUGCUUAACACAUGCAAGUCGAGCGAGAAAGUGGCUUCGGCCACGAGUACAGCGGCGGACGGGUGCGUAACACGUGGAUAAUCUGCCUUCAGGUCUGGGAUAACCCUGGGAAACUAGAGCUAAUACCGGAUAAGACCACAGGUUCCAUGGAACCAAGGGUAAAAGGCGGCCUUCGGGCUGUCUCCUGAAGAUGAGUCCGCGUCCCAUCAGGUUGUUGGUGAGGUAACGGCUCACCAAGCCGAAGACGGGUAGCCGACCUUAGCGGGUGAUCGGCCACACGGGGACUGAGACACGGCCCCGACUCCUACGGGAGGCAGCAG